GCUGAGGCGGAGGAGCGAGCCAGGGUGGUGAGGCCCGCUCUGCCAUGGUCGCCCAGGCUCCGCUGCCGAGGUUGAGAUCGGGGCGGGCGCCUCCGCCCCGCGCCUGCUGAGCGCUGGCACUCCUGCCUUUUGGCCGUGGCUGUCGGUGGGAGGGAAUGGGCCGGGAGGACCUCGCGGGAGAGCGCGGAUGGGCACCCUGGGCUCAAUCUUCUCACCUGUAGUGGGUGGGUGCUCCACCACCCCUGCUGCUCUCUCUCCACAAGUGCACCAGGGCCUCAUCCAGCACCAUGGACAGCUCCCAGGCGGAAGAACUUCCCCACUGGCCAUGUGUGAAACUGUCCAGCAGUCCUAGGAAGAGGAGAGGGAAGAAGUGAAGCUGAUCAAAAGAACCUAUAUCACCAGCUGAACAGGGCCCCCACUAAGAAGGCUCCUAGAUGAACCGAAAGAUGCAGCUGAACUCUACCAAGCCGACCACCUCCUCCAGGGGCGCUUUGAGUAGGACAGAGGUGGGAGUCCCAGCCUCAACCUGGGGGCUGCCUGGAAUAAGGCUUUGUUUUGCUGGACUCCCCUAACUGCAGGUGACCAGCUGGCCCACUUCGUGUCAUUCUGUCAUCUGAGCUGAGACUCCCCUGAGACAAAAGCCCCACCUCGUGCCUAAUAAAGACAAUUAA